GCACAAGCAGCGGAGCGUGUGGUUUAAUUCGUUGCUACACGAAGAACCUUACCUGGGUUUGACAUAUAGGUUGUAGGGAACUGAAAAGGGACCGACCCUUCGGGAGCCUAUACAGGUGUUGCAUGGCUGUCGUCAGCUCGUGUCGUGAGAUGUUCGGUUAAGUCCGCUAACGAGCGCAACCCUUGUCGUAUGUUAUAUGUGUCAUACGAGACUGCCGGUAAAAGCCGGAGGAAGGUGAGGAUGGUGUCAAGUCAGCAUGACCUUUAUAUCCAGGGCUACACACACGCUACAAUGGUCUGUACAAUGGGUAGCCAAGCCGCGAGGCGGAGCCAAUCCUGAAAGCAGGCCUCAGUUCAGAUUGCAGUCUGCAACUCGACUGCAUGAAGCCGGAGUUGCUAGUAACCGCAGGUCAGCAAUACUGCGGUGAAUACGUUCCCGGGUCUU
rnacentral:rRNA from 1 species